rnacentral:piRNA from 1 species
UGAAGUUCAAAUUUUGUUUCUGGGAAG